rnacentral:rRNA from 1 species
UACGUAGGGUGCGAGCGUUAAUCGGAAUUACUGGGCGUAAAGCGUGCGCAGGCGGUGAUGUAAGACAGAUGUGAAAUCCCCGGGCUCAACCUGGGAACUGCAUUUGUGACUGCAUCGCCGGAGUGCGGCAGAGGGGGAUGGAAUUCCGCGUGUAGCAGUGAAAUGCGUAGAUAUGCGGAGGAACACCGAUGGCGAAGGCAAUCCCCUGGGCCUGCACUGACGCUCAUGCACGAAAGCGUGGGGAGCAAACAGG